rnacentral:lncRNA from 1 species
UUUUUUUGGUGGGAAAGUAAAAUGUGAUUGGCUAGGAAGAUUACUGGUGAUCGACGUUUCCUUUAAGGCCGACAAAGUUAAUGGACCACGAGGUGUUUUUUAAAAGUAGUUUUUUUCUUUCUAUCUUUUUUUAGCUUAAAAGGUGUUAUGAUGACUUUUUCAAUCUCAAUUUUUAAACCAAAGUUUUUUUAAUAACUUUAUCGUGUACUAAAAUAAUCAAGAAUCAAUCUCGAUUAUUAAUAGUACUAAUACAUGCAUACUGGAGAGAUCAAGACAUUGAAAAACUAUAACAUUAAGACG